rnacentral:rRNA from 1 species
AUUGAGCGCUGGCGGCAUGCCUUACACAUGCAAGUCGAACGGUAACAGGUCUUCGGAUGCUGACGAGUGGCGAACGGGUGAGUAAUACAUCGGAACGUGCCUAGUAGUGGGGGAUAACUACUCGAAAGAGUGGCUAAUACCGCAUGAGAUCUACGGAUGAAAGCAGGGGAUCGCAAGACCUUGUGCUACUAGAGCGGCCGAUGGCAGAUUAGGUAGUUGGUGGGAUAAAAGCUUACCAAGCCGACGAUCUGUAGCUGGUCUGAGAGGACGAUCAGCCACACUGGGACUGAGACACGGCCCAGACUCCUACGGGAGGCAGCAGUGGGGAAUUUUGGACAAUGGGCGAAAGCCUGAUCCAGCCAUGCCGCGUGCAGGAUGAAGGCCUUCGGGUUGUAAACUGCUUUUGUACGGAACGAAAAGCUCUGGACUAAUACUCUCGGGUCAUGACGGUACCGUAAGAAUAAGCACCGGCUAACUACGUGCCAGCAGCCGCCGUAA